rnacentral:rRNA from 1 species
AGCCCCGUACACAAAAGCGCAUGUGCUGUGAGCUCGAUGAGUAGGGCGGGACACGUGGUAUCCUGUCUGAAUAUGGGGGGACCAUCCUCCAAGGCUAAAUACUCCUGACUGACCGAUAGUGAACCAGUACCGUGAGGGAAAGGCGAAAAGAACCCCGGCGAGGGGAGUGAAAAAGAACCUGAAACCGUGUACGUACAAGCAGUGGGAGCCCCACCACCAAAGCAUUCUCUGGUGUUGAAGGCCCUGCAAAGCAGCAUCGCGGUGGCGGAGCGUCGUUUGCGACGCCCAACACACAAAACAAGCGGUGAGUGCUUUGGGGUGGGGUGACUGCGUACCUUUUGUAUAAUGGGUCAGCGACUUAUAUUCUGUAGCAAGGUUAACCGAAUAGGGGAGCCGGAGGGAAACCGAGUCUUAAUUGGGCGUUAAGUUGCAGGGUAUAGACCCGAAACCCGGUGAUCUAGCCAUGGGCAGGUUGAAGGUUGGGUAACACUAACUGGAGGACCGAACCGACUAAUGUUGAAAAAUUAGCGGAUGACCUGUGGCUGGGGGUGAAAGGCCAAUCAAACCGGGAGAUAGCUGGUUCUCCCCGAAAGCUAUUUAGGUAGCGCCUCGUGAAUUCAUCUCCGGGGGUAGAGCACUGUUUCGGCUAGGGGGCCAUCCCGGCUUACCAACCCGAUGCAAACUGCGAAUACCGGAGAAUGUUAUCACGGGAGACACACGGCGGGUGCUAACGUCCGUCGUGAAGAGGGAAACAACCCAGACCGCCAGCUAAGGUCCCAAAGUCAUGGUUAAGUGGGAAACGAUGUGGGAAGGCCCAGACAGCCAGGAUGUUGGCUUAGAAGCAGCCAUCAUUUAAAGAAAGCGUAAUAGCUCACUGGUCGAGUCGGCCUGCGCGGAAGAUGUAACGGGGCUAAACCAU